GCCAGGGAAUUACUAGCCCAAGCUUAAAACCCAAAGGACUUGACGGUGCCCCACCCACCUAGAGGAGCCUGUCCUAUAAUCGAUGCUCCCCGAUCCACCUUACCGCCCCUUGAAUAUUCAGCCUGUAUACCUCCGUCGCAAGCUUACCAUGUGAACGACCCAGUGAGCCCAAAGGCCACCACCCAAACGUCAGGUCAAGGUGCAGCCCACGGGGCGGAAAGAGAUGGGCUACAAUCUCUACCCUAGAACAAACGAAAUACUACGUGAAACACAGUUAUUGAAGGCGGAUUUAGCAGUAAAAAGAAAACAGAGUGUCCUUUUUAACCCGGCCCUGGGGCGCGUACAAACCGCCCGUCACCCUCUUCAACUAAACACCCAAAAGUCAUUAACACCCCCACGACAAUAUAGAAGAGGCAAGUCGUAACACGGUAAGCGUACUGGAAAGUGCGCUUGGAAUAACAAAAUGACCAACAUCUUGCUGCACCAAGAAGCCGUCCACGAAACAGACCAUUUUGAGCCUUACGUCCAGCCCUCCUUACAAUAAUAAAACCCCCUUAACAACCACAGCAAAUAAAACAUUUUCUUGACCUAGUAAAGGCGAUUAAAAAGUAACUAGGAG
rnacentral:rRNA from 1 species